UGUGGAAUCAUCUUUACAAAAGUCUUCAUAAAUUGUGUGUGUGUGUGUGUGUGUGUGUGUGUGUGUGUGUGUGUGUGUGUGUGUGUUUCAACCUCAGGAUAGGAUCCCCACCUGCCAUGGUAAGCAGGCCAGGGUUAGGUUAGGUGAAGCGGACAAUUUUCAGGGCAUCUUUUCUACCUCCUUCUUCAUUCCAGGAAGUGAGUGGUGCAUCCUUACAAAAGGCUGCUUGGACAUUCAGGGGGCUGCUGAAUCUCACUGCUACUCCAGUCCAGUGAGAAGUUGACCCUGUGGCCUGGGCCAUCUGUAUUCAGGGUUGUGACUACGGUUCCCAGUGUAUCCAAACCUGCUGCUUCAGUCACUUGCCCAUUACCACAGGACUUUGAGUGACAUCUAAGUGUGUUUUGCAGAAAAGGAUGGGCCCCUGGGUGCAGAGCCCAUUGUAAUACAGAGGCAAUUGGAGAUUUCUUAUCUUCCUUGUGAGAAAAGUUUCCAAGUUUUCCAUGAAGCCAUGUCAUAUAAAGAUGGAUUGAAGGGAUUGGGGCACAUUUACCUUGAAGAUGAGAAGAUAUGAAAGUUGUCUUCAAAUAUCGAAAGGGCUGUCAUAUAGAAGACACAUUAGAUUUAUGUGGCUCUAGAAGAAAGAAAUAGGAUCAAUAGGCAGAAGUUACAGGGAGGAAGAAUUUUGGAUCAGUAUGAGAAAGAGCUUCCAAAUAAUUAGAACUGUCAGAAAGUGCAAUGGGUGGCUGUCUGAUGAGGGAGUGAGUUUCCUGUCACUGAAACUAUUGAAGCAGAGGAUGGAUUAUCAGGGAUAUGUGGACGUGAUGGGGGUGGGGGGAGAUUUAUGCCCACGUACAAGUUAGACUAGAUUAACUCCUAGGCCUCUUUAAUUUUAGAACUCCAUGGCGACACGUGGAAGAAUAAUUUUAUAAUAUUUUAUAUGUACAGAGACAGUAGGGCUUUUUGCCAAACACAAUAUGACACAAGCAGCCAGUAUUUUGUUUCCCCUGCUGAAAGAUAUAAGUGAGAAAGGAAGGAAUGGGGUCCCGGGAAAUAGAUUGCUUUGACCUCAACUCCUUGACCUUUCAUUCUAGCGCCAAUUGUUUUUCAGGCCAAUCCAGAGAGGAUUUUGGGAGCAAAGUGGAAUUUACUCUCCCAAUCUCCGUAUAGUUCCUGUGUGUUUUCUUUGGUAACCCCCUUCCCCCAACUGAUUUUGGGCCUCUGAAUCUCCAUAAAGAGUUAAAAAGAGUUACAAGGAAAGUCUAAUCCCAAAUUAGGUUGUUGUAUGUGACAAUGGCCUUAAUUCAGCACCGGAAAUGGCCAAUCAAAGAAAAACCUUAUUCUCAGCCUGGGGGCAUUCAUCCUUAUUUGUGUCAGGCUGUUUCUUAACUGGUUAUAGUAGCGCAUAUCCUCAGUUAUGACACAAGUACUGUCAGUCUCUCCUUCUUAAGAAACUUUCUAGUCAAUGACCUAGGAUUCAUUAUAUGGCAGCUGAGAUGGCCAAAAGGUGGCUCUAAAGAAAUGAAUCCCAGAAAUUAAUACAUAGAAAAGCUCAGUAACUAUGAGACCAGUGGAAUAAUAACUCAAUUUAUUUCUCUAAGCUUUGUGUCAUCUGAAAAUUUGAUAAACGUGCCUUUUUUCUUGGGCUCUGCUCCUAACACUCCAUACUUUUUUUUUUUACCUCCACUCUGAAAGUAUUCUCACCCUGCAUAUGCCUCUGCCCUGUGUCUCCUCCUUCCUCCUCUUGGUAGAUUCUAGUCUGGGAUCAACAUUUAAGGAAGUAACCUGCCCAUUAAGGUUCACUUCUUUUCCAGCUCUGCUCCAGGCUUUAUAGAAAAACAACAAUAACAACUUAGAUAUGACCUAUUAUUCUUGAUGAAGCCAUGCCACCUCUUUUUGAUCAAUGUACCCCUUUUUAGAUUUUCACUAACUAUCCCAUUGAUAUGUUCUAGGAUUUCUCUCUCUCUCUC